CCUACGGGCGGCUGCAGUGGGGAAUAUUGGACAAUGGGGGGAACCCUGAUCCAGCCAUGCCGCGUGUGUGAAGAAGGCCCUCGGGUUGUAAAGCACUUUCAGUGAGGAAGAACGCCUGGUGGUUAAUACCCAUCAGGAAAGACAUCACUCACAGAAGAAGCACCGGCUAACUCCGUGCCAGCAGCCGCGGUAAUACGGAGGGUGCGAGCGUUAAUCGGAAUUACUGGGCGUAAAGCGCGCGUAGGUGGCUUGAUAAGCCGGUUGUGAAAGCCCCGGGCUCAACCUGGGAACGGCAUCCGGAACUGUCAAGCUAGAGUGCAGGAGAGGAAGGUAGAAUUCCCGGUGUAGCGGUGAAAUGCGUAGAGAUCGGGAGGAAUACCAGUGGCGAAGGCGGCCUUCUGGACUGACACUGACACUGAGGUGCGAGAGCGUGGGUAGCAAACAGGAUUAGAUACCCCUGUAGUC
rnacentral:rRNA from 1 species